CUUGGACUCUCCUCUCCCCCAGUCCCUCACUGGGAGGCAGUAGUGGGGCUCCGGGUUGUCAGUGCCCGGAGGUUGGGGGGGAAAGGCUUCAGCUGUUAGCCCCUGUAGAGCUGACAGCCAACAGCCGAUGUGUCUGCCAGUUUUGUUCAUCUCACAUACCCCGUGAUAAAAUGAUAGCUUAAGUCUUAAUAUUUGGAAGAAUCAUCUCCUCCCAUGAGGAAACAAAGAGAAGCUUCAGAUUUUUCAUCUCCUUGUGUAAGAUCUGAACUGAAUCCUACUGCCAGUUAAUCACUAGAUAUUUCAGAUUUUGACUGUCAUAUCUGAAAAUGUAUACGGCACAUAAGAACUGUUCUACAAAAGAAGAAACACAUGCAAAAAAGAUUUAUCCCCAAAGCUUUCUAAUCUCUCUCCAGAGCCUUCUGAAGUGCAAAGCUACAAAGUGCCAGCUGGUAACACAGUCGUUUUCUAGUGGACUGUGGGUUUCUUUGUUAAAGUUGAGAAAAUAUUGUCUCCAAAUGGCAAGUUACUUGGAUUGAUAAAUCUUACUGCUAAAUCCAGUAGCAUGAAACCUGGUCCUGUAAGAUCUCUCAUGCCGCACUCUUAAUGUUCCUCCUUUUAUUGUUUAUUGCUGCCCCCCAAAUAUAAUAUAA